rnacentral:rRNA from 1 species
CAGUCGCCACGGUAAUACGAGGGGGGCAAGCGUUGUUCGGAAUUAUUGGGCGUAAAGGGUGCGUAGGCGGUUUGGCAAGUUUGGUGUGAAAUCUUCGGGCUCAACUCGAAGUCUGCAUCGAAAACUGCCGGGCUUGAGUAUGGGAGAGGUGAGUGGAAUUUCCGGUGUAGCGGUGAAAUGCGUAGAUAUCGGAAGGAACACCUGUGGCGAAAGCGGCUCACUGGACCAUAACUGACGCUGAUGCACGAAAGCGUGGGGAGCGAACGGGAUUAGAUACCCCGGUAGUCCCUGUCUCUUAUAC